rnacentral:rRNA from 1 species
AAGAACUUUGAAAAGAGAGUUAAACAGUACCUGAAAUUGCUGAAAUGGAACCGAUGGGAGGCAGUGUUGGCGCUUGGUCAUUUUGUGUAUCCCGCAUGCGGGGUGCUCGUGUGUCCGAGCGCAAGUCAGGCUUUCUUUGACGAGCGGGAGAGGUCUCAAACCUGUGAGGGUUGAGGGUGCCGUCGCUUGUUGGAGGGACUUUGACGAAAUGCCUCUUAUCACCCCGUCUUGAAACACGGACCAA